CCUACGGGAGGCAGCAGUGGGGAAUAUUGCGCAAUGGGCGAAAGCCUGACGCAGCGACGCCGCGUGAGGGAUGAAGGUCUUCGGAUCGUAAACCUCUGUCAGCAGGGAAGAACGGUCACUGUGCUAAUCAGCAGUGAAUUGACGGUACCUGCAAAGGAAGCACCGGCUAACUCCGUGCCCGCAGCCGCGGUAAUACGGAGGGUGCGAGCGUUAAUCGGAAUUACUGGGCGUAAAGCGCUCGUAGGCGGUAUGUCAAGUCAAGGGUGAAAUCCCCGCGCUCACCGGGGGAACUGCCUUUGAAACUGGCAAACUGGAGUGUGUGAGAGGAUAGUGGAAGUCCAGGUGUAGGAGUGAAAUCCGUAGAUAUCUGGAGGAACAUCAGUGGCGAAGGCGACUAUCUGGCACAUAACUGACGCUGAGGAGCGAAAGCGUGGGUAGCAAACAGGAUUAGAUACCCUGGUAGUC
rnacentral:rRNA from 1 species